UCUCAUCUUCCCCAGUUCAGAGAACACCCCACCAAACCCUAGCGCCGCCCUAACUUUCCACCGUCUCCAGCCGGCGGCGCCAGCCCCAAUCGACCCCAAAUUCACACCAUAGAACCUCCAUAACUCCCUCAUACCAAAUCUCUAAUUGUUUUCCCUUAAAUAUGUCCAGAACUUCUCGAAUCUUAAAUCUGAAUUCGAACCCUAAAAGUCUAAAAUUAUUUUCCAUCAAACCCAGUGGCAUGCAUGAUCAUAGGGUGCUGUUUCUUUCGAGUUUUGAAGUUUUGAUUCAAGAAAAACUGAUGUCGUUCAGUUGUUCUUGACAAAGAACAAAUGAUCGACAUUAGUUUUGUUAAUUCAAUGUCUCUGAUGGGUCUUUGAUUUCUGAUUUGGUAAGUGUUUUCAUCUUUUGUUUGUUUCAUCUUCUUUUCCUCUUCCUCUCUUUAGUUAGAUUUUUUUUACUCUGUCUGAAAGCUCGACCAAUUUUCUGAGUUUAAAUUGUUUCUGUUCGUUUGUUCCCUUCUGUUUAAUUUUCAAAUCGUAAAAGCUGUUUCUCUGAUUUUUUUUGGUCCGUUAAGUUUUUUUUAGUUGCAUCAUUUGAACCCCUGAUUCUCCUAUUUUUUUGUUUAGUCAUCUAGUUUAACUUAUAUAGGUUUAUUCUGGUUUAAUAAAUUAGUUAAUUCCAUGAUCACUUGUGUUUAGUAAUCAGUCAAUUAGUGUAGGUUUUAGUUUUCGAAAUCAUCUGAGUGUUUUUCCCUUUGUUUGUUUACUGAUUUGAUUUUGUUUCAUUUUACUGUUUGGGCUUUGAAUCCAUUUCAGACCUCACUCUAAGGGGUUGAUUUAGGUCAUUGGGUUAGAAUUGAGUCCAUAUUUGGUUUAACGAUUGGGUCAAUUUGACCCAUGACCCAUGGGUUUCGGGGGUAAAUAACCGGGGUCUUAAAGGGUAGAUUAGGAAAUUUAGGUGAGAGAAUCUCUUUUAACUGAUUGAGGAAGCUUCCUAGAAGCUGGGGUGGGGACUAAUGUGAAAUUUGAUUUCUGAACCUAAGGCUAUCUAAGCAAGAAUGAAAAUAUCAAAAGGGUAAAAGUGCAAAAAACUGAAUUCAUUCUGCUGCCCUAAAAGUUUGCCUAUAAAGGCACCCUUUCUUCAGGCUCAAGGCAGAGAUUUUAGGGACUGAAAAAUUCUGAAAAGUUAGAAAUGGCUAGAUUUAAAAAGCUUCGAAAGAUAAUACUAAGAUCCCUGCAUUUUGGAAAGCUGAGAAUUCUGUUUGGUUUUAGUGUUCUUUGAUUUCAUUGGUUAGCUGAAAUUUGUGAAAGUUUCAAAGACCUUGCACUUGGUUAAAAUGGCUUGAGUUUUGGAUUUUAAAGCCUGGUUUUGAGCUGCUGUCAUAAUCCUGUUUCAUUGCUGGUUUUAAAUUGAUUUCUGUUGCUGCUUGAUUGCUAAUUUCUUCACCUCUUCUGUUUUCCCUGUUCAUUACCAGGUAUUUCCUCAAACUAUUGUCAACAAGUGACUAAGAACAUGUAUUUCAAGUUGAGGCCUGACUGAAUACAAGUUGUUUUGAAUGUCAUUUCAUUUGUUUUCCUCUAUUUCUUUAAUGUUCUGUAAUAAGUCCUGAAUUAUACAUGUUAUCUUAGCUAUCUCAUGUCUUUAGUAUGCUGCAUAAAUGAACUUGUGCUCUCUAAGAGUUUGGGUGUUGAUUUUUGGAUUCAAGCAAAUUGUGCUAGUUCCCCAGAUUUUGUUACUGAUGAUAUUGAAAAAGAGUUAAUUGGGUUGAAGUUUCAGGUUGUGUUUGUAAGUUUAGCUUAGGUUUGAACUCAAGCAUGAAUAUUUGUCGAUUUAAUUAUCAGUGUAGUUAAAGUUGAGCA
rnacentral:lncRNA from 1 species